UACGAAGGGGCUAGCGUUGCUCGGAAUCACUGGGCGUAAAGCGCACGUAGGCGGCUUUUUAAGUCAGGGGUGAAAUCCUGGAGCUCAACUCCAGAACUGCCUUUGAUACUGAGAAGCUUGAGUCCGGGAGAGGUGAGUGGAACUGCGAGUGUAGAGGUGAAAUUCGUAGAUAUUCGCAAGAACACCAGUGGCGAAGGCGGCUCACUGGACUGGUAUUGACGCUGAGGUGCGAAAGCGUGGGGAGCAAACAGG
rnacentral:rRNA from 1 species